CUGAGUUUCUUGUUACUCAGUGCUUUCACACUGCAUUGAUUUCACUCCAACAAAGUUGUCCUGGUAUUAGAAAAAGGAAUUUAUUAGAAAAUGGCAUUUUAGGAUGAUCCAUUUUCACACUCAUUUAUGUCUAAAGUUACAUAUGAUGACUACUUUUUAUUCCAGGUGUGGGGAACCAAAGGGCAAUAAUUCCAACAGUAAUUGAGCUGGAAAUAAAAAGGAUGCAUCCUUUUAAAAUGUCAUCAUACCAGCCUGUGCAGAGUGGCAGAGCAGAAACAAAGUGGACUGAGAUGUACUGAUACGGAAUGAGGCUCUUGAGAAACAAAUGUGCUGUACUGUGAGAACAGCUGUCAGAGCCUUUCUGGGAAACCUGUAGUUCUGUUUGUGGGACUGGACCAUGAGGCACAGACCAAACCUGGAGACAGAUGUUGCUGGGCCAGUAGCCACAUGAAGCUGUCCUGGGUCACUGCUCUGUCUUGGAUAUGCCUCACACUGAUUCCAUGAAGAUCUGCUCCAAGAUCUUGCCCGGCACAGAGUUCUCCCUGUGAGGAGGUGGUCACAGCUGAUGUUCUAAGAGCACCAUCAGUGUCUGGUAGGGAACAGGAACAACUCGCAAGGCACUCGAGCGGGACGUGUCUGUGUGUUUGCAGUGCCAUGGAUCGUGGGUCAGGACAGCCAAGGGCAAAUCACCUGCCUUACUGCACCCCAGAGGCUGGGGCUGGUCCCAAAGGGGCUCUCACACUGCAGGGCUUUGAGUGUCAACGGUAAUGUCAGUGCACUUUGGGUGUGAACAGGAAAGUAAAUUUACCUUCUGCUGUACCUCUGUGCACUUCUCCUGGGCUAGCACUGUUCCUCUUCAAUUCUCCACCUGUCUGGAUUGUCUUUAUUUUCUUUACUCACAAGGCCACACCACCUGAGAUGCUCACAGGAAACUCGCUGUAAUGAAGAAAAGCAGAUAGUAAGUGUAAUUUAAAGCAAAUGAUAUGGCUCCAUAAAAUCUGUUCUAAAUGA